rnacentral:rRNA from 1 species
UCUGGUUGAUCCUGCCAGUAGUCAUAUGCUUGUCUCAAAGAUUAAGCCAUGCAUGUCUAAGUAUAAAUAGUAUACAGUGAAACUGCGAAUGGCUCAUUAAAACAGUUAUAGUUUAUUUGAUAAUUGACAAUUACAUGGAUAACCGUGGUAAUUCUAGAGCUAAUACAUGCUUAAACGCCCGACUUUAUGGAAGGGUGGUAUUUAUUAGACUGAAGCCAAUAUUCCUUGUGUCUAUUGCGGUGAUUCAUAAUAACUGAUCGAGUCUCUUUUUGAGAUAAAUCAUUCAAGUUUCUGCCCUAUCAGCUUUCGAUGGUAGUGUAUUGGACUACCAUGGCAGUAACGGGUAACGAAGAAUUAGGGUUCGAUUUCGGAGAGGGAGCAUGAGAAACGGCUACCACAUCUAAGGAAGGCAGCAGGCGCGUAAAUUACCCAAUCCUGACUCAGGGAGGUAGUGACAAGAAAUAGCAAACCGGGAACCUCAUGGUUUCACGGUAUUGCAAUGAGAACAAUUUAAAACCCUUAGCGAGAAUCAAGUGGAGGACAAGUCUGGUGCCAGCACCCGCGGUAAUUCCAGCUCCACUAGCGUAUAUUAAAGUUGUUGCAGUUAAAAAGCUCGUAGUUGAACCUCUGUCUGGGGCUAGUUUUGGCUUUGGUCAGGCUAGUUCUAGGCAUCCGCCUACAAGACUUAGAGGGCAUUCAGUUGUUCACUAGGAGGAGUAGGCAUUUUACUUUGAAAAAAUUAGAGUGUUUAAGGCAGGCAAUCGCCCGCAUAUAUUAGCAUGGAAUAAUAGAAUAGGACACUUUUCCAUUUCGUUGGUUAUUGGAAUCGUGUAAUGAUUAAUAGGGACAGUUGUGGGCAUUUGUAUUUAAUUGUCAGAGGUGAAAUUCUUGGAUUUAUUAAAGACAAACUAACGCGAAAGCAUUUGCCAAGGAUGUUUUCAUUAAUCAAGAACGAAAGUUAGGGGAUCAAAGACGAUCAGAUACCGUCCUAGUCUUAACUAUAAACUAUUCCGACUCAAUGUUUGACUGGCUUAUAUAACCAGUUGAGCGUUGUAUGAGAAAUCAAAGUCUUUAGGUUCUGGGGGGAGCAUGGUUGCAAAGCUGAAACUUAAAGGAAUUGACGGAAGAGCACAACCAGGAGUGGAUUCUGCGGCUUAAUUUGACUCAACACGGGGAAACUUACCAGGUUAAAACAAUAGUGGGAUUGACAGUUUGAGAGCGCUUUCUUGAUUGGUUGGGUGGUGGUGCAUGGCCGUUCUUAGUUGGUGGAGUGAUUUGUCUGCUUAAUUGCGUUAACGAACGAGACCUUAACCUGCUUACUAGACUGGCGAUCAUCAAUCGUUGGCU